rnacentral:tRNA from 1 species
AAGCGUCGCCGCCGGAUGACGGGUAUUGUUGAUGUCAAUAUAUUUAAGUGUAUGCUUGUGACGU